rnacentral:rRNA from 1 species
UGAACGCUAGCGACAGGCUUAACACAUGCAAGUCGAGGGGUAACAGGGUAGCAAUACCGCUGACGACCGGCGCACGGGUGAGUAACGCGUAUGCAACCUGCCUAUAACUGGGGAAUAGCUCCCUGAAAGGGGGAAUUAACACCGCAUAACACUAUUGAUUCGCAUGGAUUAGUAGUUAAAUGUAGCGAUACAGGUUAUAGAUGGGCAUGCGUGACAUUAGCUAGUUGGUGAGGUAACGGCUCACCAAGGCUACGAUGUCUAGGGGUUCUGAGAGGAAGGUCCCCCCACACUGGUACUGAGACACGGACCAGACUCCUACGGGAGGCAGCAGUGAGGAAUAUUGGUCAAUGGGCGCAAGCCUGAACCAGCCAUGUCGCGUGCAGGAAGACUCGCCCUAUGGGUUGUAAACUGCUUUUAUAGUAGAAGAAACACAUCUACGAGUAGAUGUCUGCCAGUAUACUAUGAAUAAGCAUCGGCUAACUCCGUGCCAGCCGCUGC